rnacentral:rRNA from 1 species
UACGAAGGGGGCUAGCGUUGCUCGGAAUGACUGGGCGUAAAGGGCGCGUAGGCGGCGCAGCCAGUCCGGCGUGAAAGCCCUGGGCUCAACCUGGGGACGGCGCUGGAGACUGCGGUGCUGGAGGGUGGCAGAGGCCGGUGGAAUUCCCGGUGUAGUGGUGAAAUGCGUAGAGAUCGGGAGGAACACCAGUGGCGAAGGCGGCCGGCUGGGCCAUACCUGACGCUGAGGCGCGAAAGCGUGGGGAGCGAACAGG